UAUUGCUUGGUCUCUCUGGUGUUGUGCUUGUCAUGCUGUCCGUUCUUGGAUCAGUGGGAUUUUUCAGUGUUAUAGGUGUAAAAUCUACCUUAAUCAUCAUGGAAGUUAUCCCAUUUCUUGUUCUAGCUGUUGGGGUAGAUAAUAUGUGUAUACUGGUGAAUGCUGUCAAACGGCAACCCUUGCAGUUGCCUUGUGGAAGUUGUGGAAGUUGGACCAUCAAUAACACUAGCUAGUCUAUCAGAGGUUUUAGCAUUCGCACUUACAAGUUUUAUUCCUAUGUCAGCAUGCCGCGUAUUCUCCAUGUUUGCAGGUUGGAAAUUCUGAUCUAUGAUAAACUUUGGAUAAGUGAAAUAGUUGUAGUACGUUUUUGUUGUCUUCCUGUCUUACCUCAGGCCUAUUCUCCAAACUUUCUCUUGCACAUUCUUCUGCAGCACUAGCUGUUUUGCUGGACUUCCUCCUUCAAGUUACUGCAUUUGUAGCUUUGAUUGUUUUUUAUUUUUGGAAAACUGAGGGUUGAUUGUUACUGUUUGGUUGAUAUGAUAGGUAUAUUUUGUAUCUCUUUUACCUAUUAAUUUAGUCAUGGUUUGAUAUAAAACAGUUGGAUUUGAUGUAUUUUGUGCGAAUUUUAUAGAAGUUAUUUUUUCGGAGAAAACUGGAUUUUUGGAAGAAUUACAAGGAAAGCACGAAAGAAUAACGAAGUGGACUGAUGCUAUGUGAGAGUGGUGCUGGAAUUUGGGCUUUAUCAAAUUAAGUCCAAUUUGGGCUUCAUAAAAACUGGCGUUGGACUAUUCCAAGGAGGGAAGGUUUUUAAUCCCCUUAUCAAGAAGGUUGCGGGAAAGGAAAAGAGGAGGGGGAUUUUAAAGGAAAAGGAGGGCAGAUUAAAAGGAGAGGAAUCCAGCAGCCGCAAGGUAGUGGGAGACAAAAAAAAAAAAAAAAAAAACACAGCGCAGACACAUACAUAAGCCGAGAGAAAGAAGAAGCAAUUGGAGAAUUCUAGCUUUGUUGUGGAGUGGAGAAUGGAAUUUCAGUUGUUUCCUUCUUUGUUUUCGAAUUCUAGCGUGGUGUAUUUUAAUUCGAUCAUGAACUAAGUCCUUUUGCUAGGAUUAGGGUGUACUCUUAUCAUGAACAUCUAAUUCUUAUUAUUUCAUAUUGAUCUCGGCUGUUUCCAUGUUGAGUAAUUGUUAUUGUGCUUUAUCGUUAUCAAAUAACUGGCCAUUAUUUGUGUGAAGAAC